AAAAAAAUAAUAAUACCAGUCCCCCAAUAGGGUCCGAGGCGGUGGUCAAAAACUGAAGGGUAAGUGUGUUGAAGCUUCCCUUGUGAAGGAGUUCAAGUCACAGGAAGGUGGAAGUACAGAAGCUGGCAGGGAGUUCCAGAGUUUACCAGAGAAAGGGGUGAAUAACUGACAAUACUGGUUAACUCUUGCAAUAGAGAGGUGGACAGAUCAGUGGUGAGAGAAAGAAGGUGUUGUGUAGCGAGGCCGCUGGAGAGGGGAGGCAUGCACGUGAGGCACACUCCAUACAUGGGCGAGUAUGGCCCCUGUACAGAGUUAGCAAGCUCUAAGGCCACGGAGACGAGGAGUGCCUGUGUUGUCACCACUGCCUCUAUCAAAGCUACGUGACUCAUUUCCCAUGCAUAUUCUCUCUCUCUCUCUCUCUCUCUCUCUCUCUCUCUCUCUCUCUCUCUCUCUCUCUCUCUCUCUCUCUCUCUCUCUCUCUCUCUCUCUCUCUCUCUCUCUCUCUCCCUCUCCCCUCCCCCCUUCCUCUCGCUUUCUCUAUCUCUCUCUCCCGCUGCUUCCUUGGUUUAGUGUUGCCUGUGUUGUGCCCGAAAGCAGUGUUGUAUAUUUUAUUGCGCUGUGCCCGUAAUCAUUGAGUGACCGCCCUGUGCGUGUGUUGACGCGUCAGGAAGGGAGUGUUGCGUCUCCAGGAGGGUCUUCCCCUUCCGAGUUGCGUCUGCGCUUGCUUCCUUCGUCAGGCACUUCCCGCCUCACGCCUUGCUUCCUCCCGUCUCCCAGAGUCUACACACCUGCACUCUUGAGGUGAGUACACUUACUCUUUUCUUUCCUGGUAAUUGUUUUCACUGUGUUUUCUAUUGCACACAAUUGGAUAAGGUGUUAUUCAGAGGCAUUGAUAACUACACUUAGGUGUUAAGUAUUCAUUGUGUGUUUAAC